AGGCCCUUCCCAAGUUGCAUUAAAUGGAUGAAUAAUGUAUGAUGUCAUGCCUCAGUGAUUCACAUAGCUAAGCCCAGAGGGCCAAGAACAGCUACUGUAUUCCUUAGAAGAGAUGACAUCCUAAAGUGAUGAAUACAACUCAUGGUACAAAUGGGAAGACAGAAGUUUCUUACCAGAGAAAUAUUCAUUCAGCUGACAUUAACUGAGAUGAUCGGAAACUGCCUCUCAUUUUAAGCCCCUUUGCAGGAAAUAGACAUGCUUCUUAUUCCACCAAAGCCCACACAAAAGGAAAACAGUUGUAGCUCGAGGGCAACUUUGAAAACAAAGACCAAAUAUUGACCCAAUUGAAAUUUGGCAGCUCCGUUUCCCUGAAGGGCUGUCUCUGGGUCAUAGAUUAGGUGCUGUGGCUUUCCUUCCCUUUGCAUGGUUCUGGCCCUGGGAGCACUGGGCCAUAGCCUCCAGGGUUGGUAAUUUGUCACUCUCCAGGAUAACUCUAUUUCAGAGGGGUUGUCAAGUGGCCAGGAAGGCAGCAGGGCCACCCACUGCGACCUGAUGUCCGAGCCUGAGAAGACCUGUCCCUCUUGGCCAGGCACUUCCCCUCUAGUCCCGUGGCUUUCGGACAUCUUCAAAGAGACCCAGGAUAAAUGAUCCAUAUCUGGUUUUUCUCUAGUUCAUAUUGGCGUUGUACUCUGCUAAGCAUGAGGUGGUUGUGUGAGAACUGGAGAAAGAUGAGAAGUGGGUAUUAUGUGGAUAGAGUGGCAUUUUGUUUAAAAAGUAAAGGAAAAUUUUGUGCACAUUGUCUUUGGAGCUGUGUUUCACACUGACUCCCUGACUUGCUCCCAAAUCAGAAAAAAUCUUUCCUAACGAAGAAGUACUAAAGCAUUAACCAACCUGCCACAGAGGAAACACAGAACGAUGUUCCAGAUUCGCAACAUGUUGAAAUCGCUGACUCCUUCUGAUGCCCCUGAUGUGUUCUGACAUUCACAAGCGCUCCCCACAGGACCCCAUCUGCACCAGUGUGUAUGUUCUCUCAAGCUCCAACAUGGAUACAUCAUCCCACUUUACCUUUUAUUAUUCCUUUGUUGUAAUAUGUAUUCAAAUACAAUUACAGAA
rnacentral:lncRNA from 1 species